rnacentral:piRNA from 1 species
UCAGUGAUCGGUGUCAGAGAACU